rnacentral:rRNA from 1 species
AGAGUUUGAUCCUGGCUCAGAUUGAACGCUGGCGGCAGGCCUAACACAUGCAAGUCGAACGGCAGCACAGAGAGCUUGCUCUCGGGUGACGAGUGGCGGACGGGUGAGUAAUGUCUGGGAAACUGCCUGAUGGAGGGGGAUAACUACUGGAAACGGUAGCUAAUACCGCAUAACGUCGCAAGACCAAAGAGGGGGACCUUCGGGCCUCUUGCCAUCAGAUGUGCCCAGAUGGGAUUAGCUAGUAGGUGGGGUAACGGCUCACCUAGGCGACGAUCCCUAGCUGGUCUGAGAGGAUGACCAGCCACACUGGAACUGAGACACGGUCCAGACUCCUACGGGAGGCAGCAGUGGGGAAUAUUGCACAAUGGGCGCAAGCCUGAUGCAGCCAUGCCGCGUGUAUGAAGAAGGCCUUCGGGUUGUAAAGUACUUUCAGCGGGGAGGAAGGUGUUGCGGUUAAUAACCGCAGCAAUUGACGUUACCCGCAGAAGAAGCACCGGCUAACUCCGUGCCAGCAGCCGCGGUAAUACGGAGGGUGCAAGCGUUAAUCGGAAUUACUGGGCGUAAAGCGCACGCAGGCGGUCUGUCAAGUCGGAUGUGAAAUCCCCGGGCUCAACCUGGGAACUGCAUUCGAAACUGGCAGGCUAGAGUCUUGUAGAGGGGGGUAGAAUUCCAGGUGUAGCGGUGAAAUGCGUAGAGAUCUGGAGGAAUACCGGUGGCGAAGGCGGCCCCCUGGACAAAGACUGACGCUCAGGUGCGAAAGCGUGGGGAGCAAACAGGAUUAGAUACCCUGGUAGUCCACGCCGUAAACGAUGUCGACUUGGAGGUUGUGCCCUUGAGGCGUGGCUUCCGGAGCUAACGCGUUAAGUCGACCGCCUGGGGAGUACGGCCGCAAGGUUAAAACUCAAAUGAAUUGACGGGGGCCCGCACAAGCGGUGGAGCAUGUGGUUUAAUUCGAUGCAACGCGAAGAACCUUACCUACUCUUGACAUCCAGAGAACUUUCCAGAGAUGGAUUGGUGCCUUCGGGAACUCUGAGACAGGUGCUGCAUGGCUGUCGUCAGCUCGUGUUGUGAAAUGUUGGGUUAAGUCCCGCAACGAGCGCAACCCUUAUCCUUUGUUGCCAGCGGUCCGGCCGGGAACUCAAAGGAGACUGCCAGUGAUAAACUGGAGGAAGGUGGGGAUGACGUCAAGUCAUCAUGGCCCUUACGAGUAGGGCUACACACGUGCUACAAUGGCGCAUACAAAGAGAAGCGAACUCGCGAGAGCAAGCGGACCUCAUAAAGUGCGUCGUAGUCCGGAUUGGAGUCUGCAACUCGACUCCAUGAAGUCGGAAUCGCUAGUAAUCGUAGAUCAGAAUGCUACGGUGAAUACGUUCCCGGGCCUUGUACACACCGCCCGUCACACCAUGGGAGUGGGUUGCAAAAGAAGUAGGUAGCUUAACCUUCGGGAGGGCGCUUACCACUUUGUGAUUCGUGACUGGGGUGAAGUCGUAACAAGGUAACCGUAGGGGAACCUGCGGCUGGAUCACCUCCUU